rnacentral:rRNA from 1 species
UACAGAGGGGGCAAGCGUUGUUCGGAAUUACUGGGCGUAAAGGGCGCGUAGGCGGCCUUCUAAGUCGCACGUGAAAUCCCCGGGCUCAACCCGGGAACUGCGUCCGAUACUGGAAGGCUUGAAUCCGGGAGAGGGAUGCGGAAUUCCAGGUGUAGCGGUGAAAUGCGUAGAUAUCUGGAGGAACACCGGUGGCGAAGGCGGCAUCCUGGACCGACACUGACACUGAGGAGCGAAAGCCAGGGGAGCAAACGGG